UUGCCUCUGAGCCACGACUGGAACUCCAAGACAACAGUUCUUCAGUGGCAAGG
rnacentral:precursor_RNA from 1 species